UUGCUUCUCUUGAGAGCGGCGGACGGGUGAGUAAUGCCUAGGAAUCUGCCUGGUAGUGGGGGAUAACGUUCGGAAACGGACGCUAAUACCGCAUACGUCCUACGGGAGAAAGCAGGGGACCUUCGGGCCUUGCGCUAUCAGAUGAGCCUAGGUCGGAUUAGCUAGUUGGUGGGGUAAUGGCUCACCAAGGCUACGAUCCGUAACUGGUCUGAGAGGAUGAUCAGUCACACUGGAACUGAGACACGGUCCAGACUCCUACGGGAGGCAGCAGUGGGGAAUAUUGGACAAUGGGCGAAAGCCUGAUCCAGCCAUGCCGCGUGUGUGAAGAAGGUCUUCGGAUUGUAAAGCACUUUAAGUUGGGAGGAAGGGUUGUAGAUUAAUACUCUGCAAUUUUGACGUUACCGACAGAAUAAGCACCGGCUAACUCUGUGCCAGCAGCCGCGGUAAUACAGAGGGUGCAAGCGUUAAUCGGAAUUACUGGGCGUAAAGCGCGCGUAGGUGGUUUGUUAAGUUGGAUGUGAAAUCCCCGGGCUCAACCUGGGAACUGCAUUCAAAACUGACUGACUAGAGUAUGGUAGAGGGUGGUGGAAUUUCCUGUGUAGCGGUGAAAUGCGUAGAUAUAGGAAGGAACACCAGUGGCGAAGGCGACCAC
rnacentral:rRNA from 1 species